GGGGGCGUCACGGUUUCGACGGGGUUGCUUGUGGCAGAGAGGCAUGCCGGGGUGGGUACACCCGUAAUCGCGCCCAAAACCAUAAGUGCCGAACCUCAAUUCGCGCUUGCUGCUUAAUAAUUAAGUAGCCGAUUGCUUCCGCUUCGCCUACGGGCGGAUACCAAUCGUCGCACAGUAGGCUGGUCAAAGCUGUUCCGCCUGGACGGCAAUGACGAGAUCGAUCAGGCUGGUGGCCAGCUCAUCUUCGCCCGUUCUCAGGGCCGGCUACGAGACAAAGAUGAACGUGGAAAAGCAUGAAUGCUCUCUGUUGUCAGUUUCCUCGGACGGGAGUUCGACUCUCCCCGCCUCCACCA
rnacentral:tmRNA from 1 species